GGCUAAAUUUCUACUGCCUUCAUUCAUACUACAUACAUUUCCUUUAUAAAUAGUUGAAAAUAUAUGAUUUCAGUUUCACCCAAAACUUUCUAACAAAAUCUGUAAUAUAUGACCAUCUAGGUUACAAUCAUUUAAGUUGGAGAUAAUUUGGCAAAAGACUAAGGAUUUAGGAACCUCAAAAAUAGAAUAGUUCCGUAAAUAGAAUAGUGAAUAAGUUACAAAAACAUCCUGAGAUAACACAAUCAUUACAAUCACUUGACAAGUGUCAUGACCGACACUACCAAUGCUAGCCCACAAAAGAACACGAUGAUAUUGAUGAUGUGUUUAAGAUUUGCCACAUUGAUUUUAAUGACUGCAAGUCAAGCAUCAUUGUUGAACCUUAUCUGCCAAAACCACCAUAAGAUUGCAAUGUUUUUGAGACAUUCCACAGUUGGUAAUCCACAGAUCAUUACACACAAUAUAUAUAGCGAGAAUAAUCAAAAACAUAUUUUCUUAGCAAGAAUAAUCAAGUAAUUUUGAAUUUCUUCAAAUAUCUACCAUUGUACAAAGCAGGUUAACCUGAAAAUAUAGUGCAAAUGUAGAAAAAGCUACUUUGAGAAUAUAAUAUCAAAGACUAUGCUCAUAUCCAGCCUACCCACAAAGCUUUGCAUCAACACUCAAAUUGGCUGGACAACAUUGCAUAAUGGUCUUUCACAGAAUUAAAGUAGGAUGUUCAUAUAUUUCCUUGAAUUACUACUACGUUACAAUCAUAUAUCAAUCCACUCCAGUUGACAUAAUUACUCCUUUCAAGAAGACGUUUAAAUUAAAUAUGCUUCUUACAUAUUGAAGGGAAAAUUCAUGUAUUGAAAACAUGAAAUAGAAGCAGGAACUAGCAAGAGUUGGAGACACAUACUCCUUAACUUCCUCAGCAGGCGUUGUUACAACAGCAGUAGCAGCAGCACUUAUUUUCCCACCAGUCUUACCUGAAUUCCUUCUCUUCUGAUGAUAUUUUCGCAAAGGCAAACCCGUAAAAUAGGCAGUUGCUUCAAGAAUACAUAUUUUUUAAGCUAAAAGAUGUUUAAAUCGCUUUCUGAAAGCAAUAUCUAGCAAUGAUAAGAGAAAGUAAAUACUGAUAAAGGAUAAAAUAGAACAAAAAAAAUUAAUUAUGUAGCAGUUUUGAAGACUUGGCAAAAACUUGAUUGCUAGAAAUUAAUAAGUUGCAAUUAAUUAGAAUCGUGUCAAGCAAGUACCCAAAUAUGUAUACAUAGUAAACCUAAGGCUUUCAGUUCUUAGGUUGAUUUCUGAGGUUCCAAGAUACAAUCAGAAUAAAAGAAGCUAACCAAGUCUAAACCCUAAUCAAGUAAAAUAGUGAACAUAAAGAAGUAAAAACUGAAAUUACAUACCAUAUGUUUCUGUAAGAUAAGAACUGGGAUUAAUUCUAGAAAUUGACCGACCAGCAGAUGAAAUUUGCGUCGUUGGAGCAUAGAUUGAGGAAGUUAAGCAUAUAUUGAGGAAGUUGAGGAAAUUACAUACCUCAAAACGUUCAAAACGAGGAAACUCGAUUUAUCAUAUUAUUUAUCAUGAUCUUCUGAGGAAGUUAAGGAGUAAAGAUUGCUGAACCUCAAUCUUCUUAAGCUUAGAAAAUGUAUUCUCAAUCUUGCUGAACCAAUUGCUCCUCUGAUCUUCUUUCGUCCGGCGCGAUUUGAAAGAGAAACUCGAUUUGGGGAAAUUUUGGAGGCGGCUUCUUUUUUGGCCCAAAUUGAGAUCCGCGUAUUUUUUUUCCCACACGCAUCCUUUGCUGGGCCGUUGGAUGUAUCUGACGGUUGAAAGAAGAAAUUCGUAUUUUGGCUAAUUUCCAGUAUCCCAGACCAG
rnacentral:lncRNA from 1 species